rnacentral:rRNA from 1 species
AUUGAACGCUGGCGGCAGGCCUAACACAUGCAAGUCGAACGGUAGCACAGAGAGCUUGCUCUCGGGUGACGAGUGGCGGACGGGUGAGUAACGUCUGGGAAACUGCCCGAUGGAGGGGGAUAACUACUGGAAACGGUAGCUAAUACCGCAUAACGUCGCAAGACCAAAGUGGGGGACCUUCGGGCCUCACACCAUCGGAUGUGCCCAGAUGGGAUUAGUUAGUAGGUGGGGUAAUGGCUCACCUAGGCGACGAUCCCUAGCUGGUCUGAGAAGCAGACCAGCCAAACUGGAACUGAGACACGGGCCAGACUCCUCCGGGAGGCAGCAGUGGGGAAUAUUGCACAAUGGGCGCAAGCCUGAUGCAGCCAUGCCGCGUGUAUGAAGAAGGCCUUCGGGUUGUAAAGUACUUUCAGCGGGGAGGAAGGCGGUGAAGUUAAUAACUUCACCGAUUGACGUUACCCGCAGAAGAAGCACCGGCUAACUCCGUGCCAGCAGCCGCCGUAA